GGCGAUGUAGUGUAGUGGCCUAGCACGUAUCCCUCUCACGGAUGAGACCCGGGUUCGAUUCCCGGCUUCGCUA
rnacentral:tRNA from 3 species